rnacentral:rRNA from 1 species
UACGAAGGGGGGCUAGCGUUGCUCGGAAUGACUGGGCGUAAAGGGCGCGUAGGCGGUUUGUACAGUCAGGUGUGAAAUUCCCGGGCUCAACCUGGGGGCUGCACUUGAUACGUAGGAACUGGAGUGGGGAAGAGGGUCGUGGAAUUCCCAGUGUAGAGGUGAAAUUCGUAGAUAUUGGGAAGAACACCGGUGGCGAAGGCGGCGACCUGGUCCUUGACUGACGCUGAGGCGCGAAAGCGUGGGGAGCAAACAGG